rnacentral:lncRNA from 1 species
AUAGGAAAUGUAUGUGCAACCUCUGCAACUUUUUGUUGGCGUGUUGUGACGAUGACCCUGCUUCCAUUGUUUCCAUUAAUCAAAGGAGUUACAAGUUCAUCCCAAUCAUUAUAAUUGUCAUUCCAUAGGUCAUCCAACACAAACAAAAAUCUUUUGUCUCUCAAAGUUUUCUUCAGUUCAACUCGAAGAAAAUCAAGAUUAUUGUUUUCCCAAGCCCUUGAAGUGACAGAUUCAAGGAGAGUUUUAGUUACUCUUAAAAUAUCAAAAUCCUCCGAUACACAAGCCCAUGCUUUGAGAUCAAAGUGUUCUUGAACUUUUUCAUCAUUGUAAGCAAUUUGUGCAAGGGUUGUUUUUCCGACACCUCCCAUACCUAAAAUUGCAACAACACCGAUAUUGUUAUUGCUAGUGCUGCUCUUUGAUAGCAACAUGUUCGUUAUUGUCUCUUUGUCAUCCUUUCUACCAACCAUGAAUGAUUCAUUAACCACAGAACUAGAAGGUGUUCUAUGGAAAAUUCUAGCACUUUUAGUUUGUAAACCAAGGAUAUCUUUGUUUUGUGCAAAAAUUUGCAGGUUGUCACACAUGGUCUUAAUUUGGGAAUUGAUCUCUCCAUAGAUGUUUUUAAAAGGAGAAGAAAGGAAGUUCCAGACCUGAUUAGUUUUGUUUGCAGCUUGUGUAUUCUCCACCUUGCAUCGCAGUGACUCAUAACUAAUUUGAUUCAGCAAAUCCUCCGCAUCAAAGAUAGCAUCUUUCAAGUCAUCAACCCAUUUUUUGACAGCACGGUUGUUGAUCUGCUUCUCCUCAGCAUCAUCCAGCACAGCUUGAAGAACCAGCAGUGUUGUUUGUAACUGCUUCAAGAGUGAGACAUUCAGCUUUUUGUUGUUGAUGAAAUCACGAAACUCAGUUGAAGUUAGUUUGUCAAGCAUGGUUUGGACAGAAGCAGAGAGAAAUGCACCUCCAACCAAAGUUGCUGCCAUCUUUUCUAAGCGGGGUUGUUUUGAUGAAUGUUGAUUAACGAAGGUAAGGUAGCUUGAAAAUCUAUAUCGAUGGGGGAAAACAAGUUUGGUAAGGUACCUUUAUACAGGGAAACUUCGUUGAGAUUACUAAGGAGCACAAAUUAUAGAGAGUUGGAAUAAGUUAUUACAUUAAGCACAAUCAUUAUAAUUAUAAUAGUAUAGUAAAUGUGCUAAGGAACAAACAAAACGACACUGUGUCACUGUCUAUUUAAGAAUUUGAGAAAUAAAGAUCUUGAUUACUGUAAACCAUUGAAGUUAGGCCGGCAAUGAAAAAUAUAAUAUUUCAUACAAUUAUUCACCAACUACAAGAACCACCCAAGUCUUUGUAUUAAAGCUUUUAUAUUACAUGCUGAUGUUGGUUAAAAAAUAAAUAAAUCAAUUAAAAAAAUAUAAUCCUCGAGACUUGUAUUGAGAAAUACGAAAUUGCAAUGCAUUUGAUACCUUUCCAUCUCUAAUCACAUCUAGUGACACAAUUGCCACCAUACCUUCUCAAUAAAUUUUCUUAAAUUUACUGCCCUAAAAACAUGUUAACAGUAUUUAAUAUACAAUUUUCAAAAAAUACUACAUGAAAUAUUUAUAAAAUGAGUGAUGCUAUAUCUCGCAAACAAAUUUGAUCGCAAGUUCACGAAUCUUGUCUUUGUAUUUAAAUAGCAAAUAGAAAUUUUGGUGAAAAUUAGCAAAGGUGCAUUAGCUGGUCAACUUCCCCAUUUUCCUCCUAUGUUUUCCACUAAAAAAGAAGUCGAAAGUUUGACUAAUAAAUAAACGAACAUGUUAACGAGUGCUCCGGACAAUUUUUAAGCACUUUAAAUGGUAAUUUUUUUUUUAUAAAAAGUUGUUUAUUCAAUACAUUGAAAAUUGUAAUAGUUAACUUUUUGAAAUAAUAAUUGCUAAAUUUAGAAUCCUAAAAAGUGUCCUAGAACACUCGUUAACAAGAUCCAUAUAUAAAACAUAAAACAUGUUACUUCGAGACAUUUGCUAUGCUGAUCAUUUGCUGGAUGAUAUAGUACUGCUCUUAAUUGAUUCCGAAUCAUCAUUACAUUUGAGAAUCAUCAAUCCGUUUGAGAAAAAUCUCAAAUGAAAGAAAAAGAUUCAACACUCGCAAAGUUAUUGUGAUGUAGAGCAAAUAUUUCUUCAAUCAAUAAUAACAGCUGCAAGUGGAAACCAAACAAACAUAAACUGUACCUAAUGAUUUAGGUCAUAAGUCAAAAAAAUAAAAUUGAACAUCAAACCAAUGAAUCUGCUGCAAAAUUAAUAGAAGAGAAAUUGUUCUUAGAAUAGUAUGAAAGAUAGAUAUCACCUAUUUGAAACAUUCAGAUAAAAUCACAUAAGUUAUAAAGACCAACAAUAUCUCUAUAAAAGAAACUUAAUUAAUCAGAUCAAUAGCAUGAAAGAGGUUUCAAAUGGAUAAUACAACAUAAUUUUAUGCGUCGAAAAAUUCUAAACAAAUAGAUUUAUCUAUUUUUUGUAGCAAAAAGAUGUUUAGAAAAAUAUACAAAUCGUCAAGAAACAAAAGAAAUCAAAGUAGCAAAUUUGGAAAGUUUUUUUUUUUUUUUUUUAAAACUUAGGAUUACUCGUUACAAGAUAAAUUACACGUUAAAAGAAAAAUCCAUUGCUGGAUGACACCCCAUUUGUGAACCACAGAAAUCAGUUAGUUUGAAAUACUUUAGUUGGGACAUAGUCAAGCAAUAAUAUUGCAUUGCACUUCAAAUUUUACUUGGAAAAGGUUAUUUAAACAUUAAGAUUUAAGAGUGGCAAAAGAAUAAAUUCAAACAAGGGAAACCAAAUGAUUUUUUUUAAUAAAAGAUGCUUUUAACAUUUCAUUAAUAAUCAUAUGUUCUAUACAACGAGGUACAUAAGAAUAAGUAGUGGGACUAGCUAAUAAUAUGGCAGCUCCAACUAGCGUGUGAGCUACCUCAUUCGCUUGUCUCCGGUUAAACUUGACCUUUGAGUUGGUGAAUUUCAAGUCGAAGAGACUUCUACAAGCGGAGAUAAUGAGCCCAAAUUCAGAGACAUCUGGGCGAGAAUUAUUAAAAGCAUCCACCGUAGUCUUUGAGUCCAAGGCAAAGUCUACGUUAUCAAAUCUCAUAUCACUUAGCCACUCCAAAGCAUAGUAAAGGCCCAUAGCUUCCCCUACGUGAAAGUAAUAAUUCUUCCUUUUAUAAAAAAUAUAAAAAAUAUAUAUUGUACUUGCAGAAAAAGUACGGUAAGGAUUCUAGGGCUAAGAAUCGUCGAUUAGGGUUCUAAACUAGGGCUUUUUAGAAUGAAUAUCGGAUCCCUUGAGAAUGAUUUCAAGAGGGUUAUUUAUAGCCUGCUAAUGGGUUUUUUCCUGCGUGACUUAAGCUCUAAGAAAGCAAGGUUUUUAGUCUUUUUAGCUCAUUUAAGCGGUUUAGGGCGACUUCUAGAGGUUUCUAGAAGCCGAGGUGGACCGCGUCCUGAGGAGGACGUGCCUAGACCUCCAAAGCCCCUUCUAUAGGGCGUCUAAACCCUUCUGGAGGGCUUUUAAGCCCUUAGGAAUAUUAUGACGGUCCACAACCCCCCAAGCACGAGGCUUGGAACAAGGCGAAGUGAUGAAUAAUGUAGAUUUGGUCCUUCUGGAGGGCUUUGAGCCCUUAUGAAUAUUAUGACGGUCCACUCCCUUUCACGGAUUUUCCGAAUUAGAGCUCUUUAUAAAGUUUUACACCUUUCAUAGGCGCUCUGUUGAUGUUAAUAUAUCAGCCACCUUUAAAAAGGUCGGACUUAUUGAUUUGAAUAUCAGCCGCCUUUAAAAAGGUCGGACUUAUUGAUUUGAAUAUCAGCCGCCUUUAAAAAGGUCGAACUUAUUGAUUUAAAUAUCGGGCCGCCUUUGAUAGGCGGACUGUCGAUACUUCUUCUUAUAAAAAACCUGCAAAACAAAUCUCAAAGGUCGAAAAGGUUAUUUUAGAAUAUAACUCCGCGUUUCAUCUUUAUGUUUUCCAUGGCGGGACUAUUGCUUCCAUACUCGUUUAAUUACGGCGUGUUGAUUGGCGAGUUCUCUCCUUUUAUUCAUCUAGCCCUUGGCGGGCUUGUUAGUAUCCCAACCUUGAUUUAUCUGAAAUAUAACAAUUCUUCCAAACUUCCAAAGUAAAUAAAUAAAAGAAAACUGAGAGUUUUAAUUGUCCAUUUAUGUAUGCAAAACUGAUUAUCCACAUAUUAUAUUUAUAUGACACCACUCGAAUCGCAAUACAGGAAAUUUGAUUAAUAAUAUAGAUAGCUAGCUAUGAUACUAGCAUACGCUCCUAUGGGAAGAAAUAACACAUCAGGAUCUUGUUGGUAGCUAGUAGGUUAAAUAAGUUCUUAACUAAUAAAUGGAAUUACUAUAUGCUUGUCGAGAAGUCAAGUUUCAGUAGGCUAACUCUACCUUAUAUAUUUAGUCAGUAGGAUGGUGAAACAAACAUAUUUCUUAACUAACAAGAUAUUUAUAAAGUAGAGAUCAAGCUUUAUCAAUACUAGAAACUUGGUACAUUAGCAUGUGUUGAAUGAAUCUGACAUGGACUUUCUAACAAUUUGGAUUUACUGAUCAUGAUCUGCCCUCCUAUAAUUUCUCUUUGUACAUCAUUUAAAGAUAAUCAUAGCAUUCUCAUAAAAAAGGACAAGAUUAUACUUUCAAUUACACCAUACUAUGUUUCUAGGCAACUCAACGCAAUCUUAAAAGUUCAUGACUUUUGUGCAGUUUUAAAAUAUGUACCUGACUCCUUAUGGAUGAUUUCAAAAGUAUAAAAGAUUAAAACUUACCGUGACGUCGAUCAUACCAUGCUCUUUUAGUUUCUGUAGCAGCCAAAAUGAGUUUGAUGCAUUUAACGCCUUAAAAUCAACAUAUCGAUACUAUCAGUUGUCCUGCCUUGUCAUCUUGAUUCCACCUCCAAACUUUUUCGCCCUUUAACUUGUCUAUCAAUAGCAUCCUAUACCCAUGCUUUCUUUAUUCUAACCUUUCUUCGUGGUAUAGCCUAUAUUAGUCUAUUUUACAUAGCUAUUUCCUAACGAACCAAGAGGGGUAUCUGUUCGCCUAAUUAAAAGCAUAUUUCGAUCGCAGCUUCCACAACAAAGGAAUUAAUAACAAUAACUAAAUUAAUUCGCCAAUUGAAUGUAUAUAUUAUGAUCCUUAUGCGCAUAAUCUGGUAUAACGCUACGUUACGGUUUGUUGAUGUCCUUUCAAGACGGCGUCGGUCGGGUUCAUGGCGGUGUGACUCUUAGCGGCUUCGAUGAUGAGACGGAUGCCCGGAGGUCAGUGACGACGACAUCAAACAAGGCUGGAUUGAAGUGUAGCCCGGGUCCGUUUUACCGGAUCCACGCUCACUGCAUUUUUGUCUUUUCCAAGGGCGUUUUGUGCAAUAUAUCGAAACCGGCCAAAUCAAAUACACAUAAUAAAUAGUUAAAUAAAUGAGUGAGAAUCUCCAGUAUUAUGUUGAUAUUUCAAGUUCCAUAAAUUAUGAUGAUUUCUAGAAGAAAACUAAGAGCAUGUGUAAAUAGUAACUGAAUAAGCUCACUGUAGGUUCACUAUAGGCACGCUUUAUUAUAACCAAGAAGCAACAAUAUUAAAAACUAUACACUCAGGAGUGUGCAUAUUAUGAUGAAUAAAUUACUAACAAGGGGAAUAUAACGUUAUAAAUCUGUCCAAUAUUAUUAGUUAAAUUAAUGAAUAUAAAGUAGAUUAACAACAUGUGGUGGAAAUUUCAUUAAUGAAUAGCAGAAAGGUUUAAAAACAUAUGGUAGCGCAAUGGAACAAUAGAUAGUAACACAAAUAGCAAAAAUUAAAGAUCUCAUGAGUGGUUUUAAUUUGGAAACUAAAUCAAAGGCACAUAUAGGUCAAUAUUUGAUAAUGGAACUUACAACAGGAUAAAACAAUUACGCCAUCAAACACGACUUCAAAAAAUAUGUCCAUGAGAAAAGUGCUUGGAAACUAUAUCAAAAACUACCAUUACCUUUUGUUAUAUAUCACCAGAAGUCUUAUUUUUAAUUUAUAUAUAUAGAAAUCGUGUGGUAUGCAGAAGCAGCAUAAAUAGAUACUAGAAAUCGUUACGCAGAAGCAACAUAAAUAGAUACUAGAUAUCGUGAAUAAAAAAUAUAACCUGUGUACUGCUUUGAUCGAAGCUUCUUUGAGCGUUGUGGUUUCAGCAGAACAAACAACAACACAAUCGGACUUACCGAUUGUACAACAGUAGUCUUACGAUGUGGAAUUUUGAAAGGAGGAAGAAAACAGCAACUCAUCGGCGAGAUGGAUUGAUAACUCACAGGUUGAAAAGAUCUUUCACCGCCGCCUCUACGACCUCGCCAUCAGGUCGAUCAGACAUCGCAGCGAUGAAAAGGAAAAGGUGUUUCUAAAUCGCGGUUUAGGGUUGCGAUUCAGAGGUGAGGUGUGGCCUAGGUUAGUUUUACCGAGGUUCCCACAGACGGCGCCAACUGUACUUGCAGAAAAAGUACGGUAAGGAUUCUAGGGCUAAGAAUCAUCGAUUAGGGUUCUAAACUAGGGUUUUUUAGAAUGAAUAUCGGAUCCCUUGAGAAUGAUCUCAAGAGGGUUAUUUAUAGCCUGCUAAUGGGCUUUUUCCUGCGUGACUUAAGCUCUAAGAAAGCAGGGUUUUUAGUCUUUUUAGCUCAUUUAGGCGGUUUAGGGCGACUUCUAGAGGUUUCUAGAAGCCGAGGUGGACGGCGUCCUGAGGAGGACGUGCAUAGACCUCCAAAGUCCCUUCUAUAGAGCGUCUAAACCCUUCUGGAGGGCUUUUAAGCCCUUAGGAAUAUUAUGACGGUCCAUAUAUAUAUAUAUAUAUAUAUAUAUAUAUAUAUAUAUAUAUAUAUAUAUAAAUUAAAUAGUAAAUCACUUAGACCAUCUACGAUGAUUGGUGUUUCACCUAUUUAACACCACAUUAAAUAAGCAUCAUAUUGUGGAGUAUAAUAUACAGGGGUGCCUAUAGAGAAUGAUGACUAUGGAAGCACCCUCUCUCUCUUCAUUUUUUGCGGGUCUCAUUUAAUAAUUCUUCAUAAGAUAAAUAAAUUUUGUUGAAAUGCAAUGAUAUAAAAUUAUUUGUAGGAUCUAUUUAAUAACUUCUUUUGAGGUGUUGGGUUGGAGAAAAUUAGUACUUAUUAAGUAUUACAAUAAAAUGAGUGAUGUAGACAUAGAGGACCCACUUAAGCAUCGAGUAAACCCUCAUUUGGUUCUCUAAAAAUGUACCUCGCUAUCAGACACAUCCCUGGAUCAUGAAAACGAACCAAAAACUCCCUCAAUGUCUGUUUCUUUAGUUAUACACGUCCAAAACGUUAAACUUCUAUUAACUCUAAUGAUGUGUCAUUUAGUUUUGCCAUGUCAGAUGCUUAUAUGGGAUGUCCAUGAUGGUGAGGGACGAAAAUGAUAACAAAACCUCUAAACUUCUGGAAAAAGAAGAAGAAACUCAAAUCUUCAUCUUCUUCCUCAAUUCCAAGAUUAUAAUCACCUAGGUUUUGCACACAUAAAAGUAAAGAGAAUAGCAUCUUAAAAUCUAACAUAACCCACCUGAAAAAACACCUUAAAUCUCAACAUCACGUGCUUGAACAAAUUUCAAUUUUUCUCAAAUCUCACAUCUCAAAAACCAAUAUUUAUCAUUUUUCUUAGAUUUCACCCAACAAACUAAAGAUUGGUUUAGAAGUCUUCGAAAAGGUUUUUCUUUCUCUAAAAUUUACAACAGAAAAGGAAAUCAAUAAACACCAACAACACAAACACAAUCACAUACACAACGAAGAAAUGAAUAACCCUACGUAUGAGAGUUGAUGUUGUUGGUUUGAGAAAGAAGAUGAUGGUGUUGUUGUUGAUGUUGGUGAUUGAUAGAUAUUUGGCAAGUGAACCAAAUUCGAUCGAAGUAAUAAAAAGUUCGUUUCCACGAGGACUGUAUUUAACUUCUACUUAGCAAUUUCAUUAUUAAAAAGGAUGUAUAAAUUUAUAUUGGUGCCCUAGGCAGUUGAGUUGAUUUAGUAACAUAAACUGAUUAAAAACAAUAUAGAAUUGGAUUCAGAAAAUUGAGAGAAGUAUGGUUAAGUCCUUCGAAUCCUCCAAAGCUCUCCUAUGGUAAUUUGCACUCCUAAAUACGAUCAAUGAUUAUUUAGUUUCACGACGGAUUAACUUAGUAAUUCUAUCCAAUCUCUUGACCUAGAAUUCUCCCCGCAAGUGACAACUCCUUAAUCUCUUAAGUGAAUUCGAAACCAUAGGAGGUAUUAAACGAACGUUAAUCCCUAUAUCAUAACCUAAUAAUGAUCUAUCUCUAGCUUGAUUACUGAGGUUAAACCUAUUACUAUUUCAGAGUUAAAAGCCAGGGUUAGUGGCCAUUCAAUUUCUAUGAUCAAUAUGCAUAUUCAUAACGCUAGGGUUAAUAGUUUAUCAUAAACAUACAUAAGGCAUUAAGCACAAAGUAAUAUGAAUAAAAACUAAACUUUCAUUGAUGUUCAAAGGAGUUCAACAAAUUAGGGUUCCCAUAGGAUUACAUCAGAUUCAUCUCAAGAAUUAACCACAAAAGAAUUAGUUACUCAAAGCUAAAGUAUAAGAUAACUAACAUAAGAAAAAAGGAUUCAUACAUGUGAAGGAUGAUUGACUCUUAGUUUUGAUGGUUUCCCACCAGAUCUCCAAGUCUCUGCUCCAAAAUAUGCCUUUAGGUCUCAAAAUUCGUCAACCCUUCAUCUGAAAACGCCUCUUUAUAUUUAUAAGCAGGUCAAAAUCGGCCACCGUGCUCCAAAAUCGGUGGCCGAUUUCAAUAGAACGCGUGCCCAGAAAGUACCAAAUCGGUGGCCGAUUUUUCACGAGGCUAAAGCUCAAAAUUGCAGCAAAAAUCGGUGGCCGAUUUCUCUUCAUCGGUGGCCGAUUUCCAAUCUUGAAAACUUCAAUUUCUUCUUCUUUUGUAGCUUGCAACUCCAUGAAUUACAAUAAAUAACCCCUAAAAUUACAUGAAAAAUGUCUACUAAAAGAGUAAUGACAGAAUGUCAUCAGUGAUGUUUGGUUUUGAGAAAGAAAUCAACUUGCACCACUGGGUUAACUCUCCCCCUCCAUCUUCUUCUGCUGCAGAUUUAGUUUUAGGUUUCUAAUAAAUUAGCUUUAGAUGUUUGAAUAUUCUAUUUAAUAAGCUUUAAGCUUCAACUUUAUUGUAAAUGUGUUAAUAUAAUAAUAAAAUGAGAAUUUAUGUGUAUCAUUUUGUCCUUUUAUUUUUGCAUUUAUUUUAUGAUUUUCACAUCUAAAUAAUAUAAAAUAAACCAAAUUUUUUUUGGUAAAAGCCAUUUUCGAAUUAUAUAAUCCAAAAAUUUAUGAAAAUCUUGUUCGGAUUAUAUAAUCCAAACCAAUGAUAUUUUGGAAAAAAAAAUAGGGCGCAUGAAAAACACAUAGAAUGAGAAAAAUAAUAGGAAAAAAUAGGAGGCUUUGUAGAAAGCCUUAAAAAGGAGACUUUUCAAUUUAUAGAUUUUUUAACAGCUCUAGGUGCAACACCGUGUUUUUAGAUUCAACAUAGCUAAUUAAUUAGGCAAAUUCUAUGGUACACCCAAUAAUUUGAGUGUAUUGGUACACCAAAUCCUUAAAUUAAUAGUUAAAUGAGUUAUUUUUUGUAGAAAAAAAUAUUUUCUAUCACCUAUAAUUAUAAUAACUAAAUCUUAUUUACCAAAAACGUAAACACAAUAAAAUUUGAUUUUUCUGAAUUCCUAUUACUCAUAAUAGAGAAUUUUGAUUAUUUUUUACAAUAAAAUGUAGAAUAAUUUAGUAUGAUUUUUCUAAAAUAUGAAAUGAUUUUUUUUCCUAUAAAAUGAUAUUUUCUAAAAUAUAUAUGUCAACAAACACCUAUUUCUUUUAUAAAAAAUGAUAGUUUGUUUAUAAAAAUGUAAGCGAGAGUACCGGUACACCUUAAUUUGCGGGUGUACCGUAGAAGUUCCCAAUUAAUUACUCACUCUGUCCCUGACCUGUAUGUAAGCCCCUUUUACAUUUUUCACAUUGUUUAAGAAAAGUUAUCAGUGUAAAUAAUGUGUAUGUUUUGUGUGUUAGUAUUACCAAAUUAUCCUUUGUUUGUAUGUGUAAUUUAACUUUCCAUAUUUCAAGAUUAGUAGUAUUAAUUAGGGGCAUGUUUAGGAAAAAAUAAUAAAUGCAUCUAGUAAUUUGAAAAGAGGUUUACAUUCAGGGAUAAAAAUAAAAUCAAAUAGGUGCUUAGUAGCUUAUACAAAUUUGUUCAUGCUUAAUAUUGUGUUUGGAAAAUGUUACAUAGACACCCUUUAGUCUCAUACACCCCAUGUACUAGGAAGAGAGAAAAGGAGAUGAAAGAGAAAGUAUGCUUUUGUGGGGUCUAUGUAUUAUCACCUAAAGCUUUCUAUGUAUCAUAACUCUUUGUUCUUUUAGAGCGUUUAGAGCGUCCAUGCUUAAUUUAAUGCAAAAUGAUUAUAAUACACACGCACACGCACACGCUUGAACUUCAUAGCAUGAACGAGCUUGACAAGUUUCAUUGAUCUAUCUUGUACUUCAAGCAUGUCCCAAGUGGACCCAAUUGUGCGUGUUUUUAGUCUAAACUUGAGUCAACACAAACGUAUAAGCACCUUUGACCCACUUGUUUCUAUCAUGUUUUCAACGUGACAAUUUUCUUUGUUUUUUCGAAGUUUCUAUGCAUGAACAUGCCUAUAUAAGCCAUGAACUCAUCUCUUAUGCAUAAAAUCAAUUAAUCCAAUCCACACUCUUUGAAUUUUAGUUACCAACAACACUUUUAAAGCUUUAGAGUUUAAAACCAAAGAGAGCUAGGAAAAAACAAAGUUUAUAUCGUCUUUGUUUUCUAACUUCAAACUAUCAAUGGUAGUAGAGAAAUUUGCAAAAUUCUUAUUUAAGAAGAAGAACCACCACAAGUGUUACCCUCAACCUAAUGAAGAGUUGCCAUCUUCAUCAUUACAUGAUUUUCACUCCCAUGUAUCCAAACACAUUGACCAAUUAGCAUUGGAAUUGAAACCCGAGUCGGAAAUCUUAUCGUUAUCAUGGUUUCAAGGAUGUUUUGGUCUUUUGCCUCUCAUCAACAAGGUUUUUUGCAAAACUUGUUAUGGACAUUGAUUAUCCAAUGACUAAAUGGAACGUUGAUUCAAUUGAAGUUUAUCUCAACUAUACCAUGAGUUUGUUGGAGGUUCUGAAUUUCAUUUCUUCUUCUCUUUCUCAUCUUGGCCAUUCAAGGCUUUCUUUGGCUCAUGGUUUGACUUUGGUGGAGAAGAAGAAAUCACUUUCUUUGGCUAGAAAUCAUUUGAAAGCAAUUCAACCAGCAGGGUGUUUUAGCACCAACUUUGGUAAAUCUUUUCACACGCAAGAUGAUAAAGCAAAUAUUGUUUCUGGAAAGGAGUUGAUUGAUCGUUAAAUUGUAAAGGAAAUGAAGAGUACUGGAUUUUGGGUAUGUGGAGUUCUCUUGUCUUGCUUUUAUGGUGAUGCUAAGCCAUACAUGGAGCUAAGAAAAAUUGUUGGUGGGUUUGAAAAUUCUAUAGUUUCCACACUUGAUCAUAAAAUCAGUGAAAAGAUAGUGAAGAAAAUGCCAUGCUUUAGUGAGAUCAAAGAAAUGAACAAAUUUGUUGCUCGCCUUGUUGCAGGCGAUGAAGUAAAAGAUGAUGCAACCAAGGAAUUUCAGAGAAAUCUGUGCGGUGAUAUAAGCGCGAAGGUGGAUCAUCUAUUUGAUGAUAUAAUGAAUCAGAGAACUGAACUAGUUGAUGGAUUUUGACUCCGUCAACAAUAACCAUGUAGACUGCACAGCCACCGUGCCGGAGCACCACACACCAACGUUGCCAUUAUCCGUUCAUUACUAGACAUAUCAGUACAUAAUUAAGAUAGAAAGGAAAAAUACAAAGUAAUAUUUACAUUGUACAAGAGUAAAAUAAACCAAACACGCUUAUUAGAAAGAAAAACAAAGGGCACAAUUUAGAGUUUUCACAGUUCAAUAGGCCAAAACAUGGUUAAAGAUUUCUUUCUUGGGUGGCUUACUCUUGUGAUGAAUAUCAGCAGCAAACCAACAUAACAAGCAGGGAUCACACACAGCACAUGUUACAAUACCGAUUAAGUCUGACUUGAGAUUGUUCAACAAAAUCAAGAAAAGUACUGCUAUGUUUUCAGUACAAGUUUAAUCUACACAAACUCUAGGUAUCUUAGCCAAACAAACCAAUACCACUCUUUGAAUUUUAGUUGUCAACCAAACAAAGUUUAUAUCAUUUUUUUGUUCUAACUUUAAAUUAUUAAUGGUAGUAGACAAAUCUGCAAAACUCUUAUUCAAGUUCAAUAUGUAGUGAAUUGAGUUUCUUUUGACGAGAAGAUAGCAGUUUCAGAGCUCGUUUCAUCUCCAGCACAAUUUUAGAAUCACCAAAUUUCACUCUCAGCAACCUUUACAGCCUCGGUUAUCUUCUUCAGAAUCCCACCGAUUUUCUUUAUUUGGGAGUAGUGGAAAAAACAAAUUAAAUAAAUACCAUAUAAUUUAUGAAAAACGGAUACGGAAACCAAACACGUACACCGCCACAAAAACCACUAAUAAUUUGAGAAAAUUACAUAAUUUAGCGUAGUGUAAUUACAAGUGUCGGUGUCGGAAAAAACACCCCUAAUCCGAGAAGUGUCCUUACUAUAAUCUAAUAAUCUAAUCCAAUCUAAUAACAAAGAAGACCUCACCUCACCACCCUCCGGGUUCCGAUUGAAAGCAUAAUAGGAUGCCUCCUUAAGCUUAGUUGUUUUGGUGGUGUACUGUACCUUGUUAGGUGCGGUAAUUAUCUAAUUAAACCAAAACCGUAUUCAAAAAUAGUUCUAAAUAGAAAAAUUAAAAUAAAAGACAAAAAGAUUAUGAUAAGCAUGCUAACAGUCUUAAACUUGCACGAUUUGUUAUCCAGCACUGCAUUGAUAUUCCAUUCAGCAUCGAAAAAGAUACAUUCAAUAAGAAAUCCAUUUCUUCUUCACUUUCUCAUCUUGGCCAUGCAAGGCUUUCUUUAGCUCAUGGUUUGACUUUGGUGGAGAAUAAGAAAUCCCUUUCUUUGGAUAGAAAGCAUAUGAAAGCAACUUUGGUAAAUCUUUCCACACAAUGACGGUAAAGGAAAGAUUGUUUAUGGUAAGGAGUUGAUUGUUCGGGUAGGUGUAAAGGAAAUGAAGAGUAUUGAAUUUUGGGUAUGUGGAGUUUUCUUAUCUUGUUUAUAUGUUGAUACUAAGCCAUACAUGGAGAUAAGAAAAAUUGCUGGUGGUUUUGAAAGUUCUAUAGUUUCCACACUUGAUCUCAAAAUCACCGAAAAGGUAGUGAAGAAAAUGCCAUGAUUUAGUGAGAUCAAAGAGAAAAAGAAUUUUGUUGCUCGCCUUGUUGCUGGUGAUGAAGUAAAAGAUGAUGCAACCAAGGAAUUUCAGAGAAAUUUGUGCGAGAUAGGGAUGAUAUUUGAUGAUAUAAGCAAGGAGGUUGUGAUGACUCAGAACUGAAUUAGUUGAUGGCUUUCAACUCAAGAAAUAGCAAAUAUAAUCCAUUGUUUGAUUCUUAAAUUGUAUAUAAUUUUCUAGUCUAGUGUAAUACUCAAUGAUUUUCUAGUCUAGUGUUUAAAAAGAUACAUUCAAUAACACGAUUAUCAAAUCAAGAUUCAAAUCAUGAUCGGAAGACCUCACUACAAGAAAAUAUAAGAUAUGAUAUGCUAGGAUACCUGUGCUAGAGAAUGUAAUGGUAGCAAAUAUCAAAAUAAUUAGUUAUCCUUUGACUGAAAUUAGUUUUAUUUGGAUUUUUUAUAUUUAAAUAAUUAUAUAAAAAAAAAUUAGAAAAAAAAACGUCAUCGCAGAACACACACCAUCCGGCGAUAGAUACGCAUUCUCUCACCGUCGCCGAUAUCCACCAUACGCAUUCUCUCAACGUUAUCGCCUAUUUUUUUAUUUUUUUUCCAAUUGUGAAUCAAAUUUUAUAAUGACAUAACUAUAUUAUAAGCUGAUAUGUCUUACAUAAAACCUCAAUUAUUACAGAUUUAUACAAAGUUUAUAAAUUAAAGGGGAUGAUUACACUAAGUGUAGGUAGAAAUUCAUUAAAACGAAAAACAAACUCCCAAUUUAGAUCUUUCACAGUUCACUAUGCCAAAACUCUUGAGAUGAACAUCAGCAAGCAACCUACACCACAAGAAGCAAGUAUUAUGAGUCCAGGAAAAGCGAAAGAGCAGUGGCGGAACUUGAAUAAUUUUACGAGGAAGUGAAAGAUAUACAACCGCAUAAUAAAAUUAUUUAUAUACCAAAUAUGUAAUAAAAUGAAUGUUACAACACCUAUGAAAUCUAACUUCAGAUUGUCCAACAAAAUCAAGAAAAGUACUAAUAAGCUUUCAGUAUCACACAGCAAGUGCAGACCAUCAAGAUCUUAAGCAAUUUAUUUAGAACUUUGAAAAUAAGAAAAAAACACAGUACCUCUGCCUCAAUGUUGUGUUCCGAACGUCCUUUCUCAAUUAUAAUGCUUGCGAAACUGAAGAUAUGAUGGGAUCACAUGUUCUUAUAGCAAAAAUAGUCACUUGAGCUCUUCAAUCUGUAACAUGAUAUAGGUAGAAAGACCAAGUUAAUAGUGACAUAUUUCAUUUCAAGAUAAGAGAUGCUGGAAGAUCAACAUUGGAAUAAGAAUAAAGCAAAUCAGUUAAUUUUCCAAAGAAAUUUGUGUAUUUCAAAUUUAUAUAAUUAUUUUAAAUAAAAAAAUUAAUACAUACACAUCAAUUUUCUUCAAUCAACUUCAAAGCAAUAAAAAUUAAGUUCUCCGGCCUCUAAUGAGAGGACCAUGUUGGUCAGUGCACAUGAAUGUAAUUGAAUUCAUAUAAAUGACAUUGUACAUGAAAUGAGAUUAUCUUAGUUAAGAAACAAGAUCAUUAACAUGGAAUCUUGUUUAUCUACUUGUUCUUGUUCCAUUUAUUUAUACUUCAUAAACACAAUCACAAUCAUGAGAAAUUAUUCUCGACUAGUAACGUAAAAGAAAUUCAUACCUGAAACAAGGAGGAGGCACACCUCCUUCCAUUCCCAUUAUUCAUAUUAUCACUUUGCCAUUUAUUUCUAUCACAGGGAUAUAAGAAAUUUCAGACCAAUUCCUGCCUCCCUCACUUUCAUACCUUUCUUCUAAAACAGGGCAUUUAGAAAUGCUCAGUAACUUUAGAGAGGAAGGGAGACUGUGUUCUGGAAAUGACUCAAGCCUUUGACAUUUGUAAAAAGAAAGUGUUUUGAGAGAGGAAGGUAACAUGACCUCUGCCAAGGACUCAAGUUGUUGACAGUUAUAAAAAUUAAGUGUUUCAAGAGCGGAGAGUUGUCGAAGCCCAUUUCCACCUAAGCAUUUCACUUCAGAGAGAUUACUUAUUGACAGAAACACCAAGGAAAUGGGUAGCAAUUGCUCCUUCAACAAGGUGUGAACAAUAUCAUCAUUAUCUUCAAUUUUCAAAUUUGUAAGAGAAGUAAGGCUUUGGAAACCCCCCCAUUCAAUUAAUGGCGGCAUCUUUGUUAUUCUCACAGAUGCAAUAGAAAUUGUUUGUAAUUUGGGAGGUAAGAAAACUCCUUCACAUAGUGACAACUCUAGUUUUGGAAGAUGGCGGAGACUCAAACUUUCAAGAGUUGUGAGGGUGUCCAUUCGUUGAGGUAGUGAUAUAAGGGCCUUACAGGAACUUACGUGAAGUUCUUGGAGGGUUGAGGAGUGAUAGGAAGAACUUUCUGAAAUAAAAAUGGAUUCCAGACCAGUACAACCAUCAAUGACAAGCUUUUGGAGCUUAGGAAAACCAUCCAAUGGGAAGGAGGAAAGUGAGCCACAGCUGCUGAGUAAACUCAACUCCAAAAGCGAUGUGUAAUUGCUCCACGUUUCCGGAGGCAUGAAUGAUAACUUCUCGCAACUAUAAAUAAGAAGUUCCUGCAAAGAAGUGGGUAGACCUUCCCUUGGAAAUGCAGUUAAAGACGGAAUUCUACUGAGUCUCAAGAAUCGAAGACAUGUGCUGCUCAAAAUCAUUUGGGGAAGGGAGAAUAUUGUAUCAAAGAAAUAUACCGAUACCGAUUGCAGUAGACAAGGCAAAUCACUCUCAACAAACGGCCAUUGAUUAUUUGUAGAAUGUAAAUCUCCCCAAAUAUCUAUAGCUUUUAUUGAGGAGGGCCAUUCAAGAGUAGGUGGUAAUUCAAAAAGACGAGGACAACCAUGAUAUACAAAUGUUUCUAUGGAAGAAAGAUGAUUAGGCAAAUUUCCCCUCAGUUCGGGACAGUUAUAUAAAAUCAGAGAUUUAAGACAAGGAAAAGGAAAUAUGCCAUCUUGAAAGGGAAGCCAUUUCUUCCAAUUUGGCAUUUUCACAAAUUGCAACUUCUCAAGCGAUGGAAAAGGUUGAAAUGAAGAAUUGGAACCUCCUCCAACAAUGCCAUAGAACUCUGGACCAAUUGUCUCCAAUAUAUACAUACCUCUUAUACUUAGGUCCUUGAGAGAAGAUAGUUGUCCUAGUGGUGGAAGUGUCACACAAUAUCCACAAUGUUGAAUUGACAGUGACACCAUGUUAGAAAAUGAAGAAUCUCCCAACCAACUUGGAAAGCUUGUCCCACCAUACAAGUCAAUGUUCAAUCUGUUUAGGUUUACCGGGGGUUUCAACAUAUCAAGCACAUCUUUCCCUUUAAGUGGGUCAUCAGUUUCAACGCCCCACUGUAGCGUUAAUUCUUCAAUAUGUUCUUUGCUCUUUAAGUCAGCAUCAUAUGCCUCCGCAACAUCAAUGACGUUCUGCAGGUUCUUGAUAAAUAACUUCCCCUGUAGCUUUGGAAACCUUGCAAGCUCUCUAACACUUAAACCAACAUUUUUCUUGCCUACUAUGAAAACAGAUAAAGUUUGAAGAUUUUCUAGCUCAACAAUUUGCUUUGGCAUCUCUGUUAUGCCUGUGAAAAUGAUAUCAAGGUGACGUAAAUUAAUCAACUUUCCGACAUGUUCCGGCAAUUCAAUGAGCUUUGAGCAAAAUGAUAAGAUCAAGGUUUGCAAAUAGUAGAGGUUACAUAUUGUGUCAGGCAAGCCUUUGAUUUGAGUGUGAGAGAGAUCUAGAUAGCGCAACUGCACCAAACUGCCAAUUGAAUCUGGAAGCAUUGUGAUGUUUGUAUAUUUUGAUAACGAUAGCACACGCAACCUUCCUAAUGUGGGUAGCAAAUCAUCGACCACCUUUAUAGAUAAGUAAUUAAAAUUCCUCCAAGAGCAACAGGGUAGGAAGGUUCUCAAGCAUUUGAGUUUGUGGAAAAGCUUAAACUUCUUGGCAAUGUCAUACUGCUCUUGAUUGUAUGAGCAAUGACGAACAUUCUUGGAAGCGUCACCACCAAAUUCAACCCUGUAACAACUUUUUCCAGAUACGAGUGUAGCUAACUCAUUAACAAAAUCGUGCAUGACAAACCUUUCUCCUCUAGUAUCAACAUGUAGCUGUUGAAUUAAUGAUCUGGAUAACAGUUCAGCAAAACAAUCAUCACCUACUUCUUCAAUGGGUUUUUCGUCUUUAGAAUGAUCAAGGAAGCCUUCUGCCAUCCACAACAAUACCAAUUGAUUCCUAUUAAGUGAAUAGUCCUUUGGAAAAAUGGAACAAUAUGAAAAACAUCUUUUCAAUUGGGAGGGAAGAUAUUGAUAACUCAGAAGCAAUGCAGGUAACACAUUGUCAUUUGGUAAGUUCCAUAUUUUGUUGUUCAAAACUUCAGUCCACUCUUUGGCAUCUCUUUUUGAACGCAAUACUCCUCCAAGUGUUUUUGCAGCUAUGGGCAACCCAACACACUUUCUUGCAAUCUUUCUACCAAUUGCUUCUAGGUUUGAGCAUUUAUUGUCACAAAAGUUUUCACUUCCAAAUGCAUGCUUUGAGAGUAAAGACCAUGUAUCUUCAUUAGAUAAAACUUCUAAUUUAUGAAUAGGAAAUGUAUGUGCAACCUCUGCAACUUUUUGUUGGCGUGUUGUGACGAUGACCCUGCUUCCACUGUUUCCAUUAAUCAAAGGUGUUACAAGUUCAUCCCAAUCAUUAUAAUUGUCAUUCCAUAAGUCAUCCAACACAAACAAAAAUCUUUUGGCUCUCAAAGUUUUCUUCAGUUCAACUCGAAGAAAAUCAAGAUUAUUGUUUUCCCAAGCCCUUGAAGUGACAGAUUCAAGGAGAGUUUUAGUUACUCUUAAAAUAUCAAAAUCCUCCGAUACACAAGCCCAUGCUUUGAGAUCAAAGUGUUCUUGAACUUUUUCAUCAUUGUAAGCAAUUUGUGCAAGGGUUGUUUUUCCGACACCUCCCAUACCUAAAAUUGCAACAACACCGAUAUUGUUAUUGCUAGUGCUGCUCUUUGAUAGCAACAUGUUCGUUAUUAUCUCUUUGUCAUCCUUUCUACCAACCAUGAAUGAUUCAUUAACCACAGAACUAGAAGGUGUUCUAUGGAAAAUUCUAGCACUUUUAGUUUGCAAACCAAGGAUAUCUUUGUUUUGUGCAAAAAUUUGCAGGUUGUCACACAUGGUCUUCAUUUGGGAAUUGAUCUCUCUGUAGAUGGUGUUAAAAGGAGAAGAAAGGAAGCUCCACACCUGACUAGUUUUGUUUGUGGAUUGUGUAUUCUCCACCUUGCAUCGCAGUGAUUCAUAACUAAUUUGAUUCAGCAAAUCCUCGGCAUCAAAGAUAGCAUCUUUCAAGUCAUCAAGCCAUUGUUUGACAGCAGGAUUGUUGAUCUGCUUCUCAUCAGCAUCAUCCAGCACAGCUUGAAGAACCAGCAGUGUUGUUUGUAACUGCUUCAAGAGUGAGACAUUCAGCUUUUUGUUGUUGAUGAAAUCACGAAACUCAGUUGAAGUUAGUUGGUCAAGCAUGCUUUGGACAGAAGCAGAGAGAAAUGCACCUCCAACCAAAGUUGCAGCCAUCUUUCUCAAGUGAAAUUGUUUUCUGAAUGUCGAAUGUUGAAAACAAGUUUGGUAAGGUACCUUUAUGCAGGGAAACUUCGUUGAUACAACUAAGGAGCACAAAUUAUAGGGAAACAAAUUAUAAUAGUAUAGUAAAUGUGCUAAGGAGCAAACAAAUAUACAAAUAUAAUAAUAUAAUAAAGAUAUUGAUUCCUGUAAACCAUUGAAGUUAGGCCGGCAAUGAAAAAUAUAAUAAUUCAUACAAUUAUUCACCAACUACAAGAACCACCGAAGUCUUUAUUUUAAAGUUUUUAUAUUACAUACUGAUGUUGGCUAAUAAAUAAAUAAAUCAAUUAAAAAAAUGUAACCCUCGAGAGAUUUAGUGGACAAAUAGAUUUUGUGUCAAAAGAAUCUAGAGAUUUUUUUUUUUAGAGAUUUUGAAAAAAAUCUGAAAUUAUUUUUGUUUGCCUACUAACCAUAAAAAUCCAUUUUUUUUUUAAAAAAAAUGAGUUCUAACAUGCACAUGUGUUAUCUCCUUGUUGUUGAAAAAAAUGGAUUUUGAGAAAAGCUAACCCUAAUAGCUUUUCAUUUUAGGGUCAAAAUAGAUUUUUUUUCAUAAAAUGAUUUUUCUAAAAAUCCUAAACAAACACUUAAAAAUGAAAAAAGUAAAUUUUUUAAGGGAAAAAAUAAUUUUUUUUAGAAAAAUUCUGAAACAAAUGGACCCUUGCUUAAAUUCAAGGGUUAAUAGGCUUUUACCCCCCAGCCAUUUGGGGGAUUUUUGGUUUACCCCCCUAAGAAUUUUUUUUUUUGGAGAUCCCCCCUUGCCAUUAGAAGAUUCCUUGGUUUACACCCCCAAGUCAUCUGAUUGGAUUAAUGUGAUGAUUUGGCACGCUGAUGUGUUAUUUUUUUUUAGUUUUGAUUUUUUUUAAAUUCCACGUGGCACUUAUAAUAAUUUUUUUAACAAAAAAUAAUGUUUAAGAUAUGAAAUACCUAAAGUACCCUUAAUGUUAAAUUAAAAAUCCAAAUUAAUUUUCUCUUCUUCUUCUCCAGCGCGACAGAACCCAGCACAACAACGCAACCUUCAACCCACAUUCAUCAUCAUGAACAUUCAAUCCACUUUCACCUUGUCAACAUUAUUUAACAAUCCUCCUCAACAAACAAUUCUUUAACAAAUUCAUUCAACACAUCAUCAACAAACACAUACCUAUCAGAACAACCCCUAAUCAUCAACAAACAAACCUAAACUUCACUUCCAAAACAAACAAAUCUAUCAUCAACAACAACUCCCUAAUCAUCAACAAAUAAACCUGGGCUGCCAAAACUUAACCCAGAAAUACAACAACAGAAAACUUUUGAAAAAUCCUCAUCCUCAUUUUUUAUUUCACACCCAAUUUCGCAGAACUUAAGCAUAACAACAACAACACAGCCGAUCUAGAAAAUUUUAAUUUUUUUUUCCAUAUUCAACAAAUUUUUGGAUUUGGAUUAAAUUUAUGAGAUUAAAAAGAUGAAGAGAAAAGAAAAGAACAAAGAUUUUGGGUUGGGUUGAAGAAGGAAUAAGAAGAUGAGGGAAAUUGUUGAAGAACAAGAAAAGGAUGAAGAGAAGAGGAAGGAGGAAAAGAAGGGUACGGUGGAGAGAAGAAAGAAGAGAAGGAUGAGUUUUUUUUUCUAUUAAAAGAAAUUUGAAUGGAAUAAACAAAAAUAGAAACAUAAUUUUUGUCAAAAAAAUAGUUGGAAGGAAGAAGAAAUAAGGAUGGGAUCUGGAGAAGAGAAGGAGAACAGUGGGGGAAGAAGAGAGAAAAGGAUGGAUCGCUGGAGAAGAAAAGAAAGAAAAAAAAGAAUUGAUUUUUUUAAUUUAUCAUUAUGGGUAUUUUGGGUAUUUCACAUUUUUAACAUACUUUUAAAAAUAAAAGAUUAAAAAAUUAUGACGUGUCAGUGCCACUUCACUCAUCAUCACACAGUUAACGUGCCACAUCAGCUCAUGAAUCCAGUCAGAUUGUCUGAGGGUUGAAAAUCAAAGAAUCUUCUCAUGGCAAGGGGGAAUCUCCAAAAAAAAAUUUCCUAGAGGGGUAAACCAAAAGUCCCCCAAAUGGUAGGGGGGUAAAAGCCUAUUAACCUUAAAUUCAAUAAUAAAUAUCACAACUAAAAUAAAUAAUAAAAUACGAUGAACCUUUGAUUGAUCAUGUUAAAAAAUUCAGAAAAAAUAGUACGACAAGAUGUUUAGAAAAAUUCUAUGCGUCGAAAAAUUUUAAACAAAUAGAUUUAUCUAUUUUUUGUAGCUAAAAGAUGUUUAGAAAAAUAUACAAAUCGUCAAGAAACAAAAGAAAUCAAAGUAGCAAAUUUGGAAAGUUUUUAUUUUAAACUUGGGAUUACUCGUUACACAUUCGAAGAUAAAUUACACGUUAAAAGAAAAAUCCACUACUUGAUGACAUCCCAAUUGUGAACCUCAGAGAUCAGUUAGUUUGAAAUACUUUAGUUGGGACAUAGUCAAACCAUAAUAUUGCAUUGCAAUUCAAAUUUUACUUUGAAAACGUUAUUUAAACAUUAAGAUUUAAGAGUGGCAAAAGAAUAAAUUCAAAGAAGCGGAGCCAUUUUUUUUUUAAUAAAAGAUGCUUAUAGCAUUUCAUUAAUAAUCAGAUGUUCAAUAUAACAAGGUACAUAAGAAUAAAUAGUGGGACUAGCUGAUAAUGUGGCAACCCCAGCUAGCGUGUGAGCUACCUCAUUGGCUUGUCUCCGGUUAAACUUGACCUUUGAGUUGGUGAGUUUCAAGUCGAAGAGACUUCUACAAGCGGAGAUAAUGGGCCCAAAUUCAGAGGCAUCUGGGUGAGAAUUAUUAAAAGCAUCCGCUGUAGUCUUUGAGUCCAAGGCAAAAUCUACAUUAUCGAAUCUCAUAUCACUUAGCCACUCCAAAGCAUAGUAAAGGACCAUAGCUUCCCCUACAUGACAGCGUGCAUAAUCGGCAACGGAAUAGCCUUAGCAAGCACAAAAAGUCCCCUUUCAUCGCGGAUACACAUGCCCAAACCUGUGAUAUUCAACUCAUUCGAAAAUGUGGCAUCGACGUUACACUUGACUCUACCUUGGUGAGGCCUCUGCCAUGACAAAGAGUGUUCAACAAAUGCGACACACACAACUGCUGCAUAUGGCUACACACGAGAGCUAUUCAUCUCAGAAUUGUUGUUAUUCGCUGCUACAGCUAGAGCGCUACUGCUGUUUGCUUCUGCAAAAAGGCUUUUGAUAUUGUGCGCUGUUGUAGAAGGUGUAUUAGCCAUGCUCCAGUCCUCAACAAGAUGAAUAGCCCUGUCCACAACCUACGCAACUGUUUCCGACACGCCUUGCCAGAGCUUUAAGUUUCUAUGUUUCCACAUGCUCCACAAAAGGGCAGCAAAAUGUUGACUCUCAUCGCAUGAAAGAUCCUGUACCAAAAGAAAAAUCAAGUCGGCAACACACUUAGAAUUAGCACAAGCACGUUGCACUUUCUCCCGAAUCCCUGCUCUAAACCACACCUGCACCAAAAAAGAGCAAUCAAAGAAAACAUGAUGAAGAUCUUCAGACGGUCCAUCGCAAAGAAAAAGCUAAUUUAGAAAGGACAUGGGACAUGAAAUGAGAUUAUCUUAAGAGGGACAUUUGUUACUCCAAAAACUAACAAAGCAUUGGACCUCAUGGUUUUCAAUAAUUUAUACUCCUACUUUAUCAUAAACACAAUCACGUUCAGAAAACAAAAUCUUACCUGAAACAAGGUGGCAAGCCUCCUUCCGUUUCAUGACUCAUAUUAUCACGUUGCGAUUUAUUUUUAUCACAGGGAUAUGAGCAAUUUUAGACCAAUUUUCAGAAACGUAUUCAUUACCAACAUCUUCCGCUAAUUCUUCACCUUGAGAAAGUUCGAUAAAUCCUUCAGCCAUCCACAACAAAACCAACUGCUUCCUAUCAAGUUCAUAGUCCUUCGGAAAAAUUGGACAAUAAGAAAAAUACAUUUUCAAAUGAGAGGGAAGAUAUUGCAACUUUUUCUUGGCGUGUUGUGAUGAUCACUCUGCUUCCACUUUUUCCAUAAAUCAAUGGAGUUACAAGUUCAUCUGAAUCGUUAUAAUUAUCAUUCCAUAAGUCAUCCAACACAACAAAAAAUCUUUGUCUCUCAGAAUUUUCUUUAACUCAACUCGAAGAAAAUCAAGAUUGUUACUUUCAUAUGCUCUUGAAGUGACAGAUUCAAGGAGAGUUUUUGAUGUUGAUGAAAUCACGAAACUCUAUUGAAGUUAGUUUGUCAAGCAAUGUUCGGACAGAAGCAGAGAGAAAUGCACCUCCAACCAAAGUUGCUGCCAUCUUUUCAAAGUGGGGUUGUUUUGAUGAAUGUUGAUUAACGAAGGCAAGGUAUAUAGCUUGAAAGGUGAAAACAAGUUUGGUAAGGUACCUUUAUGCAGGGAAUCUUCGUUUAGACUACCAAGAAGCACAAAUUAUGCAGGGAAACUUCGUUUAGACUACCAAGAAGCACUAUAAUUUCUUGUUUUAUUUGGUCUGAUAACUUUUGAAACGUCCGUUUUAGUCCCUCAAGUUUAUCUUUGUUUGUCAAACUUGUCCUUUCUGUUAAAUAUUUGAUUUUUCAUUAGUGAGUGCACAUGUGGCCAAUCCCACACAGCAGAUAUAAAAGAAUGGUUUCAUUUGCAAAGAGAGAAGCUACCAGUAAUAGAAAGAGGAAGAGAGAAUAUGAAGAGACAAGGGAGAGAAUACGAAGAAGGUUAGUUUUUAUAAGUAAGUAUUAAUCCUGUUAAUUUACAAUGCAGUUUGUAUAGUGUUUAUUUUUUGUUGCUAAUUUUAGUAAGAACACGAGCAUGACAAGUCUCAUUGAUCUAUCUUCUACUUCAAGGCAUGUCCCAAGUGGACCCAAUUAUGCGUGUUUUUAGUCUAAACUUGAGUCACUCAACACAAACGUAUAAGCACCUUUGACCCACUUGUUUCUAUAUUCAUGUUUUCAACGUGACAAUUUUCCAUGUUUUUUGAAGUUUGUAUACAUGAACAUGCCUAUACAAGCCGUGAACUCUUAAAAUCAAUUAAUCGACACACAACCUUAAUCUAAACAAACUCUAAGUAGCUUAGCUAAACAAACCAAUACCACAUUGUCAACCAAAGGGAGUUAGGAGCAAACAAAGUUUAUAUCAUUUUUCUGUUCUCACUUAAAUUAUCAAUGUUAGUUGACAAAUUUGCAAAACUCUUAUUCAAGAAGAAGAAUCACCACAAGUGUCCUGUUUCUUUUUUUCAUCAUAAAUCUUGAUAUUCAAGUCUUUGAGUUCGAUAUGUAGUGAAUUGAGUUUCUCUUGACGAGAAGAUAGCAGUUUCAUCUCCAGCACAAGUUUAGAAUCACCUAAUUCACUCUCAGCAACCUUCACAGCCUCGGUUAUCUUCUUCAGAACCUCACUGAUUUUCCUGAUUUGGGACUAGUAAAAAAAAAUAAAAAAUAAUUAAAUAAAUAAAUAAAUACCAUAUAAUCUACGAAACACGGACACACCGACACGCUAAUAAUUUGAAAAAUUUACAUAAUUCAGUGUAGUGUAAUUACAAGUAUCGGUGUCGUGUCGGACACGACAGGUGUCAGACACCGAGACAUGCCUACUCUGAGAAUUGCCUUUACUUCAUAUCAUAUGAUCUAAUAAUCUAAUCAAAUCUAAUAACAAAGAAGAACCCACCUCACCACCCUCGAGGUUCCGAUUGAAAGCAUAAUAGGAUGCCUCCUUAAGCUUAGUUGUUUUGGUGGUGUACUGCACCUUGUUAGGUGCGGUAAUUAUCUAAUUAAACCAAAACCAUAUUUAAGAAUAGUUCUAAGCAGAAAAAUUAGAAGAAAAGAAAAGGAGAUUAAGAUAAGCGUGCUAACAGUCUUAAACUUGCGCGAUUUGUUAUCCAGCACUGCGUUGAUAUUCCAUUCAGUGUCGAAAAAAAUGGGGUCGGUCAAAUGGUAGAUCAGGAAUUGCGGAACAAACUUGACUGCCUGCCUGAAAAAUCACUGCUACGACGAGGUUCCCUGUUACAGAAAGAAGGUUGUUGUUGUUUUCAGUAAAAAUACGUUAAAGGAAAAUCAUUCAUUAGUAAAGAAAAUUACUCCUACUUACAUUGUUAAAUAGCAAAAAAUAAUCCAUUGCUUGAUUCUUAAAUUGUAUAUAAUUUUCUAGUCAAGUGUAAUACUCAAUGAUUUACUUGCACACAGCAGGGUGUUUAAAAAGAAACAUUCACGAUUAUCAAAUAAAGAUUCAAAUCUUGGUCGGAAGACCUAUUUUUUUUCCAAUUGUGAAUCAAAUCUUAUAAUGACAUAACUAUAUUAUAAGCAGAUAUGUCUUACAUAAAACCUCAAUUAUUACAGAUUUAUACAAAGUUUAUAAAUAAAAGGGACCGAUUACACCAAGUGUAGGUAGUAAUUCGAUACAACGAAAGUCAAAGCUCACAAUUUAGAUCUUUCACAGUUCAAUAUGCCAAAACUCUUGAGAUGAACAUCAACAAGCAACCUGCACAACAAGAAACAAGUAUGAGGCCAGGAAAAGCGAAAGAGCAGUGGUGGAACUUGAAUAAUUUUACGAGGAAGUGAAAGAUAUACAACCGCAUAAUAAAAUUAUUUAUAUACCGAAUAUGUAAUAAAAUGAAUGUUACAACACCUAUGAACUCUAACUUGAGAUUGUCCAACAAAAUCAAGAAAAGUACUAGUAAGUUUUCAGUAUCACACAGCAAGUAUAGACCAUCAAGAUCUUCAGCAAUUUAUUUAGAACUUUGAAAAUCGAAAAAAACACAGUACCUAUGCCUCAAUGUUGUGUUCCGAAGUUCCUUUCUCUUUUAUAAUGCUUGCGAAACUGAAGAUAUGAUGGGAUCACAUGUUCUGAUAGCGAAAAAUAGUCACUUGAUCUCUUCAAUCUGUAACAUGAUAUAGGUAGAAAGACCAAGUUACUAGUGACAUAUUUCAUUUCAAGAUAAGAGAUGCUGGAAGAUCAACAUUGGAAUAAGAAUAAAGCAAAUCAGUUAAUUUUCCAAAGAAAUUUGUGUAUUUCAAAUUUAUAUAAUUAUUUUAAAUAAAAAAAUUAAUACAUACACAUCAAUUUUCUUCAAUCAACUUCAAAGCAAUAAAAAUUAAGUUCUCCGGCCUCUAAUGAGAGGACCAUGUUGGUCAGUGCACAUGAAUGUAAUUGAAUUCAUAUAAAUGACAUUGUACAUGAAAUGAGAUUAUCUUAGUUAAGAAACAAGAUCAUUAACAUGGAAUCUUGUUUAUCUACUUGUUCUUGUUCCAUUUAUUUAUACUUCAUGUUGCAAAAACUAACAAAGCAUUGGACUGUUGGUUUUCAUAUAUUAAUACUCUGGUAGCUUAUAAACACAAUAACAAUCAUGAGAAAUUAUUAUUCUCGACUAGUAACAUAAAAGAAAUUCAUACCUGAAACAAGGUGGCACGCCUCCUUCCAUUCCCAUUAUUCAUAUUGUCACUUUGUCAUUUAUUUUUAUCACAGGGAUAUGAGAAAUUUCGGACCAAUUCCCCCCUCUCUCACUUUCAUACCUUUCUUCUAAAACAGGGCAUUUAGAAAUGCUCAGUAACUUUAGAGAGGAAGGGAGACUGUGUUCUGGAAAUGACUCAAGCCUUUGACAUUUCGAAAACUAAAGUGUUUCCAGAGAGGAGAGGUGUCGAAGCCCAUUUCCACCUAAGCAUUUCACUUCAGAGAGUUUACUUAUUGACAGAAACACCAAGGAAGUGGGAAGCAAUUGCUCCUUCAACAAGGUGUGAACAACAUCAUCAUUAUCUUUAAUAUACAAAUUUGAAAGAUAAGUAAGGCUUUGGAAACCCCAUUCAAUUAAUGGCGGCAUCUUUGUUAUUCUCACAGAUGUAAUAGAAAUUGUUUGUAAUUUGGGAGGUAAGAAAACUCCUUCAUAUAGUGCAAACUCUAGUUUUGGAAGAUGGUGGAGAUACAAUCUUUCAAGAGCGGUGAGGGUGUCCAUCCGUUGAGGUAGUGAUAUAAGGGCCUUACAGGAACGUACGUUAAGUUCUUGGAGGGUUGAGGAGUGAUAGGAAGAACUUUCUGAAAUAAAAAUGGAUUCCAGACCAGUACAACCAUCAAUGUAAAGCUCUUGGAGCUUAGGAAAACCAUCCAAUGGGAAGGAGGAAAGUGAGCCACAGCUGCUGACUAAAGUCAACUCCAAAAGCGACGUGUAAUUGCUCCACGUUUCCGGAGGCAUGAAUGAUAACUUCUCGCAAUUAUAAAUAAGAAGUUCCUGCAAAGAAGUGGGUAGACCUUCCCUUGGAAAUGCAGUUAAAGACGGAAUGCUAUCGAGUUUCAAGAAUCGAAGACAUGUGCUGCUCAAAAUCAUUUGGGGAAGGGAGAACAUUGUAUCAAAGAAACAUACUGAUACCGAUUGCAGAAGACAAGGCAAAUCACUCUGAACAAACGGCCAUUGAUUAUUUGUAGAAUGUAAAUCUCCCGAAAUAUCUAUAGCUUUUAUUGAGGGCCAUUCAAGAGUAGGUGGUGAUUCCAAAAGACGAGGACAACCUUUAUAUACAAAUGUUUCUAUGGAAGAAAGAUGGUUAGGCAAAUUUCCCCUCAGUUCAGGACAGUUAUAUAAAAUCAGAGUUUUAAGACAAGGAAAAGGAAACAUGCCAUCUUGAAAGGGAAGCCAUUUCUUCCAAUUUGGCAUGUUAUCAAAGUAUAAAUUCUUAAGGGAUGGAAAAGGUUGAAAUGAAGAAUUGGAUCCUCCUCCAACAAUGCCAUAGAACUCUGGACCAAUUGUCUCCAAUAUUGACAUACCUCUUAUACUUAGGUUCUUGAGAGCAGAUAGUUGUCCUAGUGGUGGAAGUGUUACACAAUAUCCACAAUUUUCUAUGCUAAGUGACACCAUGUUAGAAAAUGAAGAAUCUCCCAACCAACUUGGAAAGCUUGUCCCACCAUACAAGUCAAUGUUCAAUCUGUUUAGGUUUACCGGGGGUAUCAACAUAUCAAGCACAUCUUUCUCCUUAAGUGAGUCAUCAGUUUCCAUGCCCCACUGUAGCGUUAAUUCUUCAAUAUGUUCUUUGCUCUUUAAGUCAGCAUCAUAUGCCUCCACAACAUCAAUGAUGUUCUGAAGGUUCUUGAUAAAUAACUUCCCCUGUAGCUUUGGAAACCUUGCAAGCUCUCUAACACUUAAACCAACAUUUUUCUUGCCUACUAUGAAAACAGUUAAAGUUUGAAGAUUUUCUAGUUCAAUAAUUUGCUUUGGCAUCUCUGUUAUUCUUGUGUAAUGGAUAUCAAGGUGACGUAAAUUAAUUAACUUUCCAAUAUGUUCUGGCAAUUCAAUGAAUUUAAAGCAAUAUGAUAAAAUCAAGGUUUGCAAGUAGUAGAGGUUGCAUAUUGUAUCAGGCAAGCUUUUGAUUUCAGUGUAAGAUAGAUCUAGAUAGCGCAACUGCACCAAACUUCCAAUUGAAUCAGGUAGUACAGUGAUGUUAGUAUAUCUUGAUAACGACAACACACGCAACCUUCCAAAUGUGGGUAGCAAAUCAUCAACCACCUUUUUAGAUAAGUAAUUAAAAUUCCUCCAAGAGCAACAGGGUAGGUAGGUUCUCAAGCAUUUGAAUUUGUAGAAAAUUUUAAACUUCUUCACAAUGUCAUACUCUUCUUGACUAUAUGAGCAAUGACGAACAUUCUUGGAGGUAUCACCACCAAAUUCAACCCUAUAACAAGUUUUCCCAGAUACGAUUGUAGCUAAAUCAUUAACAAGGUCAUGCAUGACAAACUUUUGUUUUCUGGUACCAACAUGUAGUUGUUGAAUUAAUGAUCUGGAUAACAAUUCAGCAAAACAAUCAUCACCUACUUCUUCCAUGGCUUUUUCGUCCUGAGAAUAAUCAAGGAAGCCUUCUGCCAUCCACAACAAAACCAAUUGCUUCCUAUCAAGUGUAUAGUCCUUUGGAAAAAUGGAACAAUAUGAAAAACAUCUUUUCAAUUGGGAGGGAAGAUAUUGAUAACUCAGAAGCAAUGCAGGUAAAACAUUGUCAUUUGGUAAGUUCCAUAUUUUGUUGUUCAAAACUUCAGUCCACUCUUUGGCAUCUCUUUUCGAACGCAAUACUCCUCCAAGUGUUUUUGCAGCUAUGGGCAACCCAGCACACUUUCUUGCAAUCUGUCUACCAAUUGCUUCUAGGUUUGAGCCUUUAUUGUCACAAAAGUUUUCACUUCCAAAUGCAUGCUUUGAGAGUAAAGACCAUGUAUCUUCAUUAGAUAAAACUUCUAAUUUAUGAAUAGGAAAUGUAUGUGCAACCUCUGCAACUUUUUGUUGGCGUGUUGUGACGAUGACCCUGCUUCCACUGUUUCCAUUAAUCAAAGGAGUUACAAGUUCAUCCCAAUCAUUAUAAUUGUCAUUCCAAAGGUCAUCCAACACAAACAAAAAUCUUUUGUCGCUCAAAGUUUUCUUUAGUUCAACUCGAAGAAAAUCAAGAUUAUUGGUUUCCCAAGCUCUUGAAGUGACAGAUUCAAGAAGAGUUUUAGUUACAGAUAAAAUAUCAAAAUCCUCAGAU